CUCGGGAAGCCGUGUACAGGCGUUAUACCCGGGAAUUUCCGAAUGGGGAAACCCACUAUGGUAAACCCAUAGUAUCACCAGCUGAAUAUAUAGGCUGGUCGAAGGUAACCUGGGGAACUGAAACAUCUAAGUACCCAGAGGAAAAGAGAUUAUUUCCCUAGUAGUGGCGAGCGAACGGGAAUCAGCCCAAACCAUUUGUGCUUGCACAAGUGGGGUUGUAGGGUCUGGCAACAUAGAGUUACAAAUCAAUUGGUUAGCAAAAAGGUGUGGGAAAGCCUGCCAAAGAGGGUAACAGCCCCGUAUGCGAAAACUAAUUGACUCUUGCUAGAUACCUGAGUACUGCCGAGCACGCUAAUUCGGCAGGAAUCCGGGGAGUCCACUCUCCAAGGCUAAAUACACUUGGCAACCGAUAGUGAACAAGUACCGUGAGGGAAAGGUGAAAAGAACCCCUGUUAGGGGAGUGAAAUAGAACCUGAAACCGUAAGCCUACAAGCAGUCGGAGGGCUAACAGCAUGUCGGUGCUAUUGAGAAAUCAUGUGCGCGGUGCUAUGCCUGACGGCGUGCCUCUUGGAGAAUGAGCCUGCGAGUUAAUUUCAGUGGCAAGGUUAAGGGAGUGACACCCGAAGCCGUAGCGAAAGCGAGUCUUAAUAGGGCGUACAGUCGCUGGAAUUAGACACGAAACCUGGUGAGCUACCCAUGGUCAGGGUGAAGCGAGUCUAAACGCUCGUGGAGGCCCGAACCUUUCAACGUUGCAAAGUUGUGGGAUGAACUGUGGGUAGAGGUGAUAUGCCAAACGAACCAGGAGAUAGCUUGUUCUCUCCGAAAUAGCUUUAGGGCUAGCGUCAUGCGUUUAGUACCGGAGGUAGAGCACUGGAUGGGCUAGAGGGCUUACCGCUUAUCGAACCUAACCAAACUCCGAAUGCCGGUACUCCAGAGCAUGGCAGUCGGACCACGGGAGAUGAGUUUCGUGGUCGAAAGGGAAAGAGCCCAGACCAUCGGCUAAGGUCCUUAAAUCUAUGCUAAGUGGGAAACGAGGUGAGGUUACUGAAACAACCAGGAGGUUGGCUUAGAAGCAGCCACCCUUUAAAAAGUGCGUAACAGCUUACUGGUCAAGUGACCUUGCGCGGAAAAUGUAACGGGGCUAAGCAUAGUACCGAAGCCAUGGGUUUCAACAUUUGUUGGAGCAGUAGGAGAGCGUUCUGUUCAGCGGUGAAGGUCGACUGUGAAGGCGGCUGGAGCGGACAGAAGUGAGAAUGCAGGCAUGAGUAGCGUAUAAACAUGUGAGAACCAUGUUCGCCGUAAAUCUAAGGUUUCCGACGCCAGGUUAUUCCGCGUCGGGUUAGUCGGCCCUUAGUCGAGGCCGAAAGGCGUAGACGAUGGAUAUCCGGUCAACAUUCCGGAACCACUUAUGAUGAGUGAUGAGGGGACACAGCGAGGUAGGCUAGCCAGCGAUUGGUAGUGCUGGUGCUAAGCGUCUAGGUGUUGAGACCUGUAGGAAAAUCCGCAGGUUGAGCUGAAGCGCGAAUGCGAGCCCCUGAGGCAGAAGUAGUUGAGCCUUGCUGUCAAGAAAAGCCUCUAAACGUUGAAUCAUGAGUGUCCGUACCGCAAACCGACACCGGUAGAUGGGUAGAGUAUACCAAGGCGAACGGGAGAACUUUCGUUAAGGAACUCGGCAAAUUAGCUCCGUAACUUCGGGAUAAGGAGUGCCUCUUAUUGUGAUGUGUAAACUGAAGCAUAAAGAGGUCGCAGUGAAAUGGCUCUGAUGACUGGUUACCAAAACCACAGGUCUCUGCUAAGCCGAAAGGCGAUGUAUAGGGGCUGACACCUGCCCAGUGCUGGAAGAUUAAAGGGAGAGGUUAGCGCAAGCGAAGCUUUGAACUGAAGUCCCAGUGAACGGCGGCCGUAACUAUAACGGUCCUAAGGUAGCGAAAUUCCUUGUCGGGUAAGUUCCGACCCGCACGAACGGUGUAACAAUCAGAGCACUGUCUCAACGAAAGACCCGGUGAAAUUGAAAUGGCUGUGAAGAUGCGGCCUACCCGCAGCAGGACAAAAAGACCCCAUGAAGCUUUACUGUAGCUUGACAUUGUGUUUGGGUAUGAUUUGUGUAGUAUAGGUGGGAGACUAUGAAGCUGGAGCGUUAGCUUCGGUGGAGUCGCCAGUGAAAUACCACCCUGAUCAUGCCUAGGCCCUAACCCCAUUCCGUAAUCCGGAUGGGGGACAGUGUCUGGUGGGCAGUUUGACUGGGGCGGUCGCCUCCCAAAAGGUAACGGAGGCGCCCAAAGGUUCCCUCAGGCUGAAUGGAAACCAGCCAAAGAGUGUAAAGGCAUAAGGGAGCUUAACUGCAAGACCAACGCGUCGAGCAGAUACGAAAGUAGGGCUUAGUGAUCCCACGGUUCCGAGUGGAAGGGCCGUGGCUUACCGGAUAAAAGCUACUCUGGGGAUAACAGGCUAGUGAAGUCCAAGAGUUCACAUCGACGACUUCGCUCGGCACCUCGAUGUCGGCUCAUCGCAUCCUGGGGCUGGACAAGGUCCCAAGGGUUGGGCUGUUCGCCCAUUAAAGCGGUACGCGAGCUGGGUUCAGACCGUCGUGAGACAGGUCGGUCUCUAUCCGCUGUGGGCGUAAGGGAUUUGAGGAGA
rnacentral:rRNA from 1 species